rfam:Sutterella sp. CAG:521 genomic scaffold, scf161
GGAGCAAAACUUGCUGAGAGCAGUCAGCAGACGCCAUAGUAGCCAGUGGAUGGCACUGGUGUAGGGC